CAACUCAAGCUGAUGUCAUUCGCCCGAUUGAAACUUUUGUGCCGUGACCGCUCCAACGUGCCCCCAAAACCCAGGCACCUACAACCAGUCCUCUAACCGGGGGGCUCCUCACAUCAGUAUCCCCCAGCAAGUGUGUGCAGACCGCCCGCAGCAGUCCGCCGCACCGCCUCCGUGCCUCUGUCGCUCUGCAAGGUUCCAUCUGAAAGAAGAAAGUGAGUGAGUGGCAGACUGUGUGUGCAUCGGCAUACAUGCCUGUGUAUGUGUCACCAUGAAGCACCAGUCUAUCUCCCGAUGGCUGAGCCAGCUGGGAUUGCCACAGUACUGCAUAGCACUGGAGCAGGAAUACGAUGGUGUAGAGGACCUGCUCCACCUCUCAGAAUAUGACCUCCUGGAGCUCGGAGUCCACAAUCACCUUCACCGCCUGCACCUCCUCACUUCUCUACGCCUCCUCCAGGAGCGAGAAAGGAGGAGAG